rnacentral:tRNA from 1 species
GGAGUUGUAGCUCAGUGGUAGAGCGCUUCCCUUAGCGUGUGUGAGGCAUUGGGUUCAAUCCUCAGCACCA